AGUUGCAGGGUAUAGACCCGAAACCCGGUGAUCUAGCCAUGGGCAGGUUGAAGGUUGGGUAACACUAACUGGAGGACCGAACCGACUAAUGUUGAAAAAUUAGCGGAUGACUUGUGGCUGGGGGUGAAAGGCCAAUCAAACCGGGAGAUAGCUGGUUCUCCCCGAAAGCUAUUUAGGUAGCGCCUCGUGAACUCAUCUUCGGGGGUAGAGCACUGUUUCGACUAGGGGGUCAUCCCGACUUACCAACUCGAUGCAAACUACGAAUACCGAAGAAUGUUAUCACGGGAGACACACGGCGGGUGCUAACGUUCGUCGUGAAGAGGGAAACAACCCAGACCGCCAGCUAAGGUCCCAAAGUCAUAGUUAAGUGGGAAACGAAGUGGGAAGGCUCAGACAGCCAGGAUGUUGGCUUAGAAGCAGCCAUCAUUUAAAGAAAGCGUAAUAGCUCACUGGUCGAGUCGGCCUGCGCGGAAGAUGUAACGGGGCUAAACUAUGCACCGAAGCUGCGGCAGCGAACGUAUCACUUAAACUGAUUAAGUGAUAUUCAAUAGUAUCAGAACGAUUGACGGAGCAACGCGACGUCAAUGCGUCCAACAAAGUCGAGGCGGAAACGUCAGACAGUCAGUUUAAGGAUACGUUCGUUGGGUAGGGGAGCGUUCUGUAAGCCUGUGAAGGUGUACUGUGAGGUAUGCUGGAGGUAUCAGAAGUGCGAAUGCUGACAUAAGUAACGAUAAUGCGGGUGAAAAACCCGCACGCCGGAAGACCAAGGGUUCCUGUCCAACGUUAAUCGGGGCAGGGUGAGUCGACCCCUAAGGCGAGGCAGAAAUGCGUAGUCGAUGGGAAACGGGUUAAUAUUCCCGUACUGGUGAUAAUUGCGAUGGGGGGACGGAGAAGGCUAGGCUAUCCGGGCGACGGUUGUCCCGGUUUAAGGAUGUAGGCAGGUGAAUUAGGCAAAUCCGGUUCACUAUAUGCUGAGGUCCGACGACGAGUCACUACGGUGAUGAAGUAGCUCAUGCCCCGCUUCCAGGAAAAGCCUCUAAGCUCUAGAUUAUCAUUAAUCGUACCCCAAACCGACACAGGUGGUCAGGUAGAGAAUACUCAGGCGCUUGA
rnacentral:rRNA from 1 species